rnacentral:tRNA from 1 species
GGUUUGUGGCUCAGUGGUAGAGCACUUGCCUAGCAUGUGUGAGGCACUAGGUUCAAUUCUUAGCACUG